GACCGAAAGAGAGGCGAGCAGGAGUAGUCAUGUGUACAUUGGCCAUCACAUCAAUCGUGCCGCUCGACGGCUCGACUCACAGGACACAAGUGACUGCAAUAAUAAUACUAUAAUCAUGACGGGUCCAUCAAUUUCUGCAUCUCCGUCCCCCAAAAAAGCAAGUGACAGACAGCACAGCUCCACUCCAUGGCUGCCGUAGAAAUUUUUACUACAGUCAUCAGGAGUAAAAGCACGGUCCCGGUGCCGUCGUCAUCGCCACACGCGAAAGCAACAGCAUCGCAGCUAUGCGCAGCGGAAGAUUGCAUGCGCCAACGCCAGGCGGAGGCCGUUUGGCCGCCGCCUCCGCUGCUGCCGCCGCCGGUGGCACCACGGAAGCACGAGUAUACUUCUCUUCGUUCCCCUUCAAGUGCUAUCAUGGAUUUUGGAUCUGGAAGCUCAGGCUAGUGCAUGUGCAUCUAGCAAUACUAGUGCUAGCGCGGCUGCUCAUGCAGCUGCUGAUUUAUCAAGAGAAAGCAAGGGCAAGUAACAUCUUGAUAUUGGUGGUGGUCGAUCGGUAGGUGCUGGGUCCUACUUGCCUAGUCGGCACUUCACUUGAUGUUGUAAGCACGAUGCAUCAAUUUAUUUGUCUUUCAUGUAUGUGUUGAUUUUUGUCUGAAUUCGCCAACUUGAAUUAUCUAGAAAAGAUGGUGAGUGAUUGCAUUUAAUUGAUA